rnacentral:rRNA from 1 species
GAUGAACGCUAGCGGCAGGCCUAACACAUGCAAGUCGAGGGGCAGCAUAUCUAGCUUGCUAGAUGAUGGCGACCGGCGCACGGGUGCGUAACGCGUAUACAAUCUACCUUGUACUGAGGGAUAGCCCGAAGAAAUUUGGAUUAACACCUCAUAGUAUUAUCGAAUCGCAUGGUUUGAUAAUUAAAGGUUACGGUACAAGAUGAGUAUGCGUCCUAUUAGCUAGAUGGAGAGGUAACGGCUCCCCAUGGCGACGAUAGGUAGGGGUCCUGAGAGGGAGAUCCCCCACACUGGUACUGAGACACGGACCAGACUCCUACGGGAGGCAGCAGUGAGGAAUAUUGGACAAUGGGCGCAAGCCUGAUCCAGCCAUGCCGCGUGCAGGAAGACGGCCCUAUGGGUUGUAAACUGCUUUUAUACAGGAAGAAACCUACCCUCGUGAGGGUAGCUGACGGUACUGUAAGAAUAAGCACCGGCUAACUCCGUGCCAGCAGCCGCGGUAAUACGGAGGGUGCAAGCGUUAUCCGGAAUCAUUGGGUUUAAAGGGUCCGUAGGCGGGUAAAUAAGUCAGUGGUGAAAUGCAGAGGCUCAACUUCGGCACUGCCAUUGAUACUGUUUAUCUUGAAUUAUUGUGAAGUGGUUAGAAUAUGUAGUGUAGCGGUGAAAUGCUUAGAUAUUACAUAGAAUACCGAUUGCGAAGGCAGAUCACUAACAAUACAUUGACGCUGAUGGACGAAAGCGUGGGUAGCGAACAGGAUUAGAUACCCUGGUAGUCCACGCCGUAAACGAUGGUUACUAGCUGUUUGGAUGAAUUGACAUCUGAGUGGCCNAGCGAAAGUGAUAAGUAACCCACCUGGGGAGUACGUUCGCAAGAAUGAAACUC